rnacentral:rRNA from 1 species
GACGAACGCUGGCGGCGUGCUUAACACAUGCAAGUCGAACGGAAAGGCCCUGCUUUUGUGGGGUGCUCGAGUGGCGAACGGGUGAGUAACACGUGAGUAACCUGCCCUUGACUUUGGGAUAACUUCAGGAAACUGGGGCUAAUACCGGAUAGGAGCUCCUGCUGCAUGGUGGGGGUUGGAAAGUUUCGGCGGUUGGGGAUGGACUCGCGGCUUAUCAGCUUGUUGGUGGGGUAGUGGCUUACCAAGGCUUUGACGGGUAGCCGGCCUGAGAGGGUGACCGGCCACAUUGGGACUGAGAUACGGCCCAGACUCCUACGGGAGGCAGCAGUGGGGAAUAUUGCACAAUGGGCGGAAGCCUGAUGCAGCAACGCCGCGUGCGGGAUGACGGCCUUCGGGUUGUAAACCGCUUUCGCCUGUGACGAGGCGUGAGUGACGGUAAUGGGUAAAGAAGCACCGGCUAACUACGUGCCAGCAGCCGCGGUGAUACGUAGGGUGCGAGCGUUGUCCGGAUUUAUUGGGCGUAAAGGGCUCGUAGGUGGUUGAUCGCGUCGGAAGUGUAAUCUUGGGGCUUAACCCUGAGCGUGCUUUCGAUACGGGUUGACUUGAGGAAGGUAGGGGAGAAUGGAAUUUCUGGUGGAGCGGUGGAAUGCGCAGAUAUCAGGAGGAACACCAGUGGCGAAGGCGGUUCUCUGGGCCUUUCCUGACGCUGAGGAGCGAAAGCGUGGGGAGCGAACAGGCUUAGAUACCCUGGUAGUCCACGCUGUAAACGGUGGGUACUAGGUGUGGGGUCCAUUCCACGGGUUCCGUGCCGUAGCUAACGCUUUAAGUACCCCGCCUGGGGAGUACGGCCGCAAGGCUAAAACUCAAAGGAAUUGACGGGGCCCCGCACAAGCGGCGGAGCAUGCGGAUUAAUUCGAUGCAACGCGUAGAACCUUACCUGGGUUUGACAUGGAUCGGGAGCGCUCAGAGAUGGGUGUGCCUCUUUUGGGGUCGGUUCACAGGUGGUGCAUGGCUGUCGUCAGCUCGUGUCGUGAGAUGUUGGGUUAAGUCCCGCAACGAGCGCAACCCUUGUUCACUGUUGCCAGCACGUUAUGGUGGGGACUCAGUGGAGACCGCCGGGGUCAACUCGGGGGAAGGUGGGGAUGACGUCAAGUCAUCAUGCCCCUUAUGUCCAGGGCUUCACGCAUGCUACAAUGGCUGGUACAGAGAGUGGCGAGCCUGUGAGGGUGAGCGAAUCUCGGAAAGCCGGUCUCAAUUCGGAUUGGGGUCUGCAACUCGACCUCAUGAAGUCGGAGUCGCUAGUAAUCGCAGAUCAGCAACGCUGCGGUGAAUACGUUCCCGGGGCU